rnacentral:rRNA from 1 species
UCCCAAGGGUAUGGCUGUUCGCCAUUUAAAGUGGUACGCGAGCUGGGUUUAGAACGUCGUGAGACAGUUCGGUCCCUAUCUGCCGUGGGCGCUGGAGAACUGAGGGGGGCUGCUCCUAGUACGAGAGGACCGGAGUGGACGCAUCACUGGUGUUCGGGUUGUCAUGCCAAUGGCACUGCCCGGUAGCUAAAUGCGGAAGAGAUAAGUGCUGAAAGCAUCUAAGCACGAAACUUGCCCCGAGAUGAGUUCUCCCUGAGACUUAGAGUCUCCUGAAGGAACGUUGAAGACGACGACGUUGAUAGGCCGGGUGUGUAAGCGCAGCGAUGCGUUGAGCUAACCGGUACUAAUGAACCGUGAGGCUUAACCUUACAACGCCGAAG